AAUGGCUCAAAUCAAUUUCUAAAACCUGAACCAGAGCUUCACUCUCUCUCAAAGCUCAAAGAUCUUCGUCUCUGUAUUCAACACUAUUGUGAUGAACAAAAUCAAUUCUCAACCACUCUGAACUUGCAGCUAUAGUUUUCAGGAAUAGUUGAGAGUGACGACGACGAAGAAUCUACACAUCUCGUUGCUAUAGAGCAAUCAACUUCAGUCUCGAAUUUUCCUUGAUGUUGGAGGGGAAGGUCUGAUUGAUCCAUGUAAGUUGUAAAGUGUGCCUCCUGAUGGAUGGUAGUUGAGGUUGAGAUUCCAGCUGCUGGUUGCUAGAGAUCAUGCUUUCAUCUUCAUCUCUGUCCACAUGAGGUGACCAGACCAAACUUGUGCUUUUGUUACAUUUGUAAUCUGAAACAAGAGAUUCCUUGUAUGAGUUCCGAUUGGUUGAUACACGUGAUAUGAAUAUGAUCCAAGACAUUUCGGUUCUUAUAGAUAGUUCCAUGGAGGCACUUAUGCAGCAGCGAAGCUCGCGCAUUUCUCUUGCUCUCUCUCACCCUCAUCACUCGCAUCAUAUCAUUUAUAGUUUUGUUGAAGUGGUUGACACAAGCCUAACGAAAUAUAGACUAGAGAUAAAAGCCUUGAGCAAGUGAAAUCGUUGGGUUUUAAUGGACCGGACUUUUAAAUUAUAAUGUGUGGGUCUAAAAAAAGAAAUGUAUUAGUGAUCUUUACUUCUUAUUUAUUUGUUUGAUUGUUCUAGUAACUAUAUUUUUCAAAAAUAUGUUACUAUUUGUUUUCAUGUUAA